rnacentral:rRNA from 1 species
AUUGAACGCUGGCGGCAUGCUUUAUACAUGCAAGUCGAACGGCAGCGCGGGCUUCGGCCUGGCGGCGAGUGGCGAACGGGUGAGUAAUGCAUCGGAACGUGCCCAGUAGUGGGGGAUAGCCCGGCGAAAGCCGGAUUAAUACCGCAUACGACCUGAGGGUGAAAGCGGGGGACCGAAAGGCCUCGCGCUAUUGGAGCGGCCGAUGUCGGAUUAGCUAGUUGGUGGGGUAAAGGCUCACCAAGGCGACGAUCCGUAGCUGGUCUGAGAGGACGACCAGCCACACUGGGACUGAGACACGGCCCAGACUCCUACGGGAGGCAGCAGUGGGGAAUUUUGGACAAUGGGGGCAACCCUGAUCCAGCCAUGCCGCGUGCGGGAAGAAGGCCUUCGGGUUGUAAACCGCUUUUGUUCGGGAAGAAAUCCUCUGGGCUAAUACCCCGGGGGGAUGACGGUACCGGAAGAAUAAGCACCGGCUAACUACGUG